UAUAAGCCGCGCCCGCCGGGUACCCCGCUUGCGGGGAGAAUCGGGAAGCCGGUGCCAAACCGGCGCGGGCCCGCCGCUGUGACGGGGAUGCCGCAGGCGAUUGCCACUGGAGCGAUCCGGGAAGGCGCCUGCGUGCAGACGAUCCGAAGCCAGAAGACCGGCCCGGCAAGAUGGCCGCCC
rnacentral:ncRNA from 2 species